AGUACAUUCUCAUUUCUGAUCCAGAAGUAAACACAUUUCAGGACACUUAACAUUUAAAUUCUAUCAAGAAAUUUAUUUUCUUUGAUGUGGAUGCAGCCAAUUUAAAUUUCAUCACAGGUGCAGAAGAACCAGAAGCAAUAGAAAGAGGAGCAAAUCGAUCAUCAUCUAGUGCCUGUGAGCUGGAUUUGGGUCACCUGGGUGCCUCCCUGCUUCGAGAACCAACAGUGUGGUGGUUUCAAGGACCUCGGCUUCUGGUUUGGGACCACAAAUAUUUCCUAAUCUCUAGAAAUGCUCUCAGUUUACGAUCUGCUUUAGACACGCACUACUAAGUUUAUAUCAAAGGACACUCUGGUUUGAAAUGUGCUCUGGUAUCCAUCAAUGAACAUUUUUCUUCAUGCUCGGUAGCAAUGAUGGUUUAAAACUGUUCUUGCCAUUAAUAAAUCUGGAAUAGGGGCGAGGUGCGGUGGCUCACACCUGUAAUCCCAGCAUUUUGGGAGGCCGAGGCAGGCAGAGUACUUGAGGUCAGGAGUUUCAGACCAGCCUGGUCAACAUGGUGAAACCCUGUCUCUGCUAAAAAUACAAAAAUUAGCUGGGUGUGGUGGCAGGUG
rnacentral:lncRNA from 1 species